rnacentral:rRNA from 1 species
GGGUUGUGAGGUUAAGCGACUAAGCGUACACGGUGGAUGCCUAGGCAGUCAGAGGCGAUGAAGGGCGUGCUAAUCUGCGAUAAGCGUCGGUAAGCUGAUAUGAAGCGUUAUACCCGACGAUACCCGAAUGGGGGAAACCCAGUGUGUUUCGACACACUAUCAUGACAUGAAUACAUAGUGUCAUGAGGCGAACCGGGGGGAACUGAAACAUCUCAGUACCCCCGAGGAAAAGAAAUCAACCGAGAUUCCCCCCAGUAGCGGCGAGCGAACGGGGAGGAGCCCAGAACCUGAAUCAGUUUGUGUGUUAGUGGAAGCGUCUGGAAAGUCGCACAGUAAAGGGUGAUAGUCCCGUACACAAAAAUGCACAAGUUGUGAGUUCGAUGAGUAGGGCGGGACACGUGACAUCCUGUCUGAAUAUGGGGGGACCAUCCUCCAAGGCUAAAUACUCCUGACUGACCGAUAGUGAACCAGUACCGUGAGGGAAAGGCGAAAAGAACCCCGGCGAGGGGAGUGAAAUAGAACCUGAAACCGUGUACGUACAAGCAGUGGGAGCCUACUUGUUAGGUGACUGCGUACCUUUUGUAUAAUGGGUCAGCGACUUAUAUUCUGUAGCAAGGUUAACCGUAUAGGGGAGCCGCAGGGAAACCGAGUCUUAACUGGGCGUUAAGUUGCAGGGUAUAGACCCGAAACCCGGUGAUCUAGCCAUGGGCAGGUUGAAGGUUGGGUAACACUAACUGGAGGACCGAACCGACUAAUGUUGAAAAUUAGCGGAUGACUUGUGGCUGGGGGUGAAAGGCCAAUCAAACCGGGAGAUAGCUGGUUCUCCCCGAAAGCUAUUUAGGUAGCGCCUCGUGAAUUCAUCUUCGGGGGUAGAGCACUGUUUCGGCUAGGGGGUCAUCCCGACUUACCAACCCGAUGCAAACUACGAAUACCGAAGAAUGUUAUCACGGGAGACACACGGCGGGUGCUAACGUUCGUCGUGAAGAGGGAAACAACCCAGACCGCCAGCUAAGGUCCCAAAGUCAUGGUUAAGUGGGAAACGAUGUGGGAAGGCAUAGACAGCCAGGAUGUUGGCUUAGAAGCAGCCAUCAUUUAAAGAAAGCGUAAUAGCUCACUGGUCGAGUCGGCCUGCGCGGAAGAUGUAACGGGGCUAAACCAUGCACCGAAGCUGCGGCAGCGACGCUUAGGCGUUGUUGGGUAGGGGAGCGUUCUGUAAGCCGUCGAAGGUGGCCUGUGAGGGCUGCUGGAGGUAUCAGAAGUGCGAAUGCUGACAUAAGUAACGAUAAUGCGGGUGAAAAACCCGCACGCCGGAAGACCAAGGGUUCCUGUCCAACGUUAAUCGGGGCAGGGUGAGUCGACCCCUAAGGCGAGGCUGAAAAGCGUAGUCGAUGGGAAACAGGUUAAUAUUCCUGUACUCGGUGUUACUGCGAAGGGGGGACGGAGAAAGCUAGGUUAUCCGGGCGACGGUUGUCCCGGUUUAAGCGUGAAGGUGGAUGACUUUGGUAAAUCCGGGUCGUCAUUAACACUGAGGCGUGAUGACGAGUCACUACGGUGAUGAAGUAACCGAUGCUACGCUUCCAGGAAAAGCCUCUAAGCUCCAGGUAACAUCAAAUCGUACCCCAAACCGACACAGGUGGUCAGGUAGAGAAUACUCAGGCGCUUGAGAGAACUCGGGUGAAGGAACUAGGCAAAAUGGUGCCGUAACUUCGGGAGAAGGCACGCUGAUGGUAGGUGAAGUGACUUGCUCAUGGAGCUGAAAUCAGUCGAAGAUACCAGCUGGCUGCAACUGUUUAAUAAAAAACACAGCACUGUGCAAACACGAAAGUGGACGUAUACGGUGUGACGCCUGCCCGGUGCCGGAAGGUUAAUUGAUGGGGUCAGCCGCAAGGCGAAGCUCUUGAUCGAAGCCCCGGUAAACGGCGGCCGUAACUAUAACGGUCCUAAGGUAGCGAAAUUCCUUGUCGGGUAAGUUCCGACCUGCACGAAUGGCGUAAUGAUGGCCAGGCUGUCUCCACCCGAGACUCAGUGAAAUUGAACUCGCUGUGAAGAUGCAGUGUACCCGCGGCAAGACGGAAAGACCCCGUGAACCUUUACUAUAGCUUGACACUGAACCUUGAGCCUUGAUGUGUAGGAUAGGUGGGAGGCUUUGAAGCGUGGACGCCAGUCUGCGUGGAGCCAACCUUGAAAUACCACCCUUUAAUGUUUGAUGUUCUAACGUGGACCCGUAAUCCGGGUUGCGGACAGUGUCUGGUGGGUAGUUUGACUGGGGCGGUCUCCUCCCAAAGCGUAACGGAGGAGCACGAAGGUUAGCUAAUCCUGGUCGGACAUCAGGAGGUUAGUGCAAAGGCAUAAGCUAGCUUGACUGCGAGAGUGACAGCUCGAGCAGGUGCGAAAGCAGGUCUUAGUGAUCCGGUGGUUCUGAAUGGAAGGGCCAUCGCUCAACGGAUAAAAGGUACUCCGGGGAUAACAGGCUGAUACCGCCCAAGAGUUCAUAUCGACGGCGGUGUUUGGCACCUCGAUGUCGGCUCAUCACAUCCUGGGGCUGAAGUAGGUCCCAAGGGUAUGGCUGUUCGCCAUUUAAAGUGGUACGCGAGCUGGGUUUAGAACGUCGUGAGACAGUUCGGUCCCUAUCUGCCGUGGGCGUUGGAAGAUUGAGAGGGGUUGCUCCUAGUACGAGAGGACCGGAGUGAACGCACCACUGGUGUACGGGUUGUGAUGCCAAUUGCAUUGCCCGGUAGCUAAGUGCGGAAGAGAUAACCGCUGAAAGCAUCUAAGCGGGAAACUUGCCUCGAGAUGAGUCUUCCCUGGGCACUUGAUGCCCCUGAAGGGCCGUUGAAGACGACGACGUAGAUAGGCUGGGUGUGUAAGCGUAGCGAUACGUUGAGCUAACCAGUACUAAUGACCCGAGAGGCUUAACCUUACAACACCGAAGGUGUUU